AGAAAGCUUAGAAGAGGUGUUAGAGGGUGUGUUUUGCCAUGCCAGGUCUCUGUGGCUUGAAGCCAGGGAAGAGUAUGAAAUACUACUUUUUCUUGUUACUCCACGUGUCCUGCAACAUGAACACCAAUAUAUUGCUCUGAAGAAACAGUGCACUAAGAAGAACAAGGAGGAGGCUGCAGAAUACGCUAAACUUUUGACCAAGAGAAUGAAGGAAGCCAAAGAAAAGCACCAGGAACAGAUUGCCAAGAGACGUAGGCUCUCCUCGCUGAGAGCUUCUACUUCUAAGUCUGAGUCCAGUCAAAAAUGA
rnacentral:lncRNA from 1 species